UGGGGAAUCUUGGACAAUGGGGGCAACCCUGAUCCAGCCAUGCCGCGUGAGUGAUGAAGGCCUUAGGGUCGUAAAGCUCUUUCGCCUGUGAAGAUAAUGACGGUAGCCGGAGAAGAAGCCCCGGCUAACUCCGUGCCAGCAGCCGCGGUAAUACGAAGGGGGCAAGCGUUGUUCGGAAUUACUGGGCGUAAAGGGCGUGUAGGCGGUCUAAUCAGUCAGUGGUGAAAGCCCUGGGCUCAACCCAGGAAUUGCCUUUGAUACUGUUAGACUAGAGUUCGGGAGAGGAUAGUGGAAUUCCCAGUGUAGAGGUGAAAUUCGUAGAUAUUGGGAAGAACACCAGUGGCGAAGGCGGCUCACUGGCUCGAUACUGACGCUGAGGUGCGAAAGUGUGGGGAGCAAACAGGAUUAGAUACCCUGGUAGUCCACGCCGUAAACGAUGUCUACUAGCCGUUGGGAGACUUGAUUUCUUAGUGGCGCAGCUAACGCACUAAGUAGGACCGCCUGGGAGUACGGCCGCAAGGUUAAAACUUAAAUGAAUUGA
rnacentral:rRNA from 1 species